ACACUGGGGUGUUAGGGCUAGAG
rnacentral:piRNA from 1 species